rnacentral:lncRNA from 1 species
GCUUUUCAGAUACUUCAUCUGUGAGCAGUAGCUUUAUAAUUACAGCACUUGACAGGGAAGGGUAAUUUUCAUUUCGGAUUUAAUUUGGAUGAGAGUGUUGAAAUUCUGUGUCUCUUUCUGUCUCCGCAGAAUGCCAUGCAGUGCACUGCAGUACCUGUGUGGUGCCUUCAUUGUGCACUUAUUCUGGCUUCCACAGUCAUUUUACAGCUGUUAGGAGCGUGGGAUGAGAAAGAAUGUGGGUAUCAGGCUUUAGACAUUGUCUGUCUGUAGAGCUUGGUAACCUCCUUUUCAAAUGAACAUGGAAGAACAUGCAGAUGAAGUCAAAUCUCUGUUGACUGGUUUGUGACCAACUUGACAGACUUCCCGGGAAUCUUUUCAUCUGACAGUUGCAAGAACCACAUGAUACUGAAAUCCAUAUGGUUCCACCAUAUCUUUUUGGAGAUGACAAGUACUGGGUGUAAUGAUCAAAAUGUCCGCACACCACGCAUUAACACAAUGUUCAGCUGACAAUCCACUUGCUGAAGACUGGAGACCUUUUGGAAGUCUCUAUCAUAGCUCCCUGGGGGACUACCUUAGUAAAAUUCCUCCGAAAAUAACUCCCCUCACCAAGCCCCCAUGA